AUUAAAAAGAUAGUGUCUGCUUGCAGAAACUUGCAUACAGGUGCUGCACGGCUGUCGUCAGCUCGUGUCGUGAGAUGUUGGGUUAAGUCCCGCAACGAGCGCAACCCUCGUCCUUAGUUGCUAACAGUUCGGCUGAGAACUCUAAGGAGACUGCCUACGCAAGUAGGAGGAAGGUGAGGAUGACGUCAAGUCAUCAUGGCCCUUACGUCCAGGGCUACACACGUGCUACAAUGGGGUAUACAAAGAGCAGCAAUACGGUGACGUGGAGCAAAUCUCAAAAAUGCCUCCCAGUUCGGAUUGUAGUCUGCAACUCGACUACAUGAAGUUGGAAUCGCUAGUAAUCGUAGAUCAGCUAUGCUACGGUGAAUACGA
rnacentral:rRNA from 1 species